rnacentral:rRNA from 1 species
ACAUGCUUACAACAUAGCGUUAAUGCAUUGGAUCCCAUUGGAACUCUGCAGUUAAGCAUGAUCGGGCUAGAGUAGUACUGGGAUGGGUGACUUCUCGGGAAGUCUUAGUAUUUUACAUGCC